UAGCUCAGCCGGUAGAGAGCAUGGCUUUUAACCAUGUGGUCGUGGGUUCGAGUUCCUU
rfam:Gossypium arboreum cultivar AKA8401 contig_15553_3, whole genome shotgun sequence.